rfam:Dipodomys ordii contig_35101, whole genome shotgun sequence.
GUGCUCGCUUCGGCAGCACAUAUACUAAAAUUGGAACGAUACAGGAAAGAAUAGCAUGGCCUCUGUGCAAGAUACAAUUCAUAGAUUUAUUCAUGUGCAAUGCUCUUUU